rnacentral:rRNA from 1 species
GACGUAGGAUGCAAGCGUUGUUCGGAUUCAUUGGGCGUAAAGGGUGCGUAGGCGGCGCGGUAAGUCGGGUGUGAAAUCUCGGGGCUUAACUCCGAAACUGCAUUCGAUACUACCGUGCUUGAGGACUGGAGAGGAGACUGGAAUUUACGGUGUAGCGGUGAAAUGCGUAGAUAUCGUAAGGAAGACCAGUGGCGAAGGCGGGUCUCUGGACAGUUCCUGACGCUGAGGCACGAAGGCCAGGGGAGCAAACGGG